ensembl:lncRNA
AGAGUCCAUAUUGUACAGAAGAAUUGGUCUUCCAGGCCACUUCCUGGACUGACCCACACUGCUCUCCAUCAAAUUCUCAGGUCUGAUUAGGGUUGGCAACACCAUCCCUCAUAGUUUCGUAUAUCAGAUUCAGUCUUUUCUAGUUGCAUGUGACCUCCUAUUUAAGGGGGAGGAGUAAAAUUUCUCCUUAGAUGUAUGUGUAGUCAUUCGUGUCCUACUCUCUGUGACCCCGUGGACUGUAGCCCCACCAGUCUCCUCUGUCCAUGGAAUUCUCCAGGCAGGAAUACUGGAGGGGGUCGCCAUGCCCUCCUCCAGGGGAUCUUCCCCACCCAGGGAUCGAACCCGCGUCUCCUGUGUCUCCUGCGUUGCAGGCGGGUUCUUUCCCCACUGAACCAUCGGGGAAGCCCUGCGGCAGAAAAGCAGGUCUCUGUGGAGGGCCGGUCUCUCACAUCUUCGUGGCCGGAAAAUCACGGCAGGAAACCCGCAGGUGACACUGUCUCCGCGGCGGGAGGUCUCCGGCCCGGCGGCGCGGUCCGCGGUGCAGCCGUGCUGGGCGGGCUGCGCGCCGCGCAUCGCCAUGUCCCCGGGCGUCCCUCUUCUGCUCGGGCUCGUGUUUUGCCGGGACCAAGGGAUUUGGGCACAGACCGAAAGCUUCCUGAUCUCCAGCUAUUCCCCAUCGGCGCAGAUGAGUCAAGGAGGAAAUGCUCGGGUUUUGAGCUAAUGCAGAAAGAGAACACAGCUGAGAUCGACGUUCAGAACGCAGACACAGAGAACCGGGGACAUCUGCGCAGGCCCCAGACCUACCUGAAGUCUACCAAAACCCUCUUGAAGAAAGAUCCCUUGCCGUCGUGUCUGGGACUUCUGCCAUCGAGCUCCUCCCGCUCCUCUUCCUCCUCUUCUUUUUCAUCUGCCUGUGCUGCUGUGGAGGCCAACAGGGUUCCACUGAUAAUGAGACCAAGAGCCAACCGGAUUUUAACAGCUCUAACCCUGGCAUGGACUUCUCAGAAGAAAAUCCCGACGAUGUCUCGGUGCACCUCCCACCAGAGGAGGACAGGCAGAGGGACAUGCAGGUCCACCCCGAGGAAUGCCCAUGGGGCUCUUCUGAGUCCUCCGCUGAGCCACACCAGGAUUCCUUCAUGGAGAGUGAGGUUUCACUCCCAUCUUGCAGCCCUGAGGACUCCUCAGUAUAGCCCCGCAUGGACCCGCCUUCACUUCAUCCAGAGAGCGGAGCUGGAGCUGGCUGUGUGCCCUCCAUGGCGCAAGGGCCCCUUAAGGAGUGUGCGGAUUCUUUUACCACUGCUCCACCUGGGAAGCCCCAGUCCUCACUUUGGAGCUCCCCGAAGACUCAAGAAUACAGAAGCCUUGUCAGUCGUCAAGAAAUUCUGGGAUAUGAGAGAUGGAACUUUUCCUGCCAUAUCAGUGAACAAAGGGUAUCACAGUCAUGGGCGAUGACGGCCACCACGGCUGCUGAGCUGGUGAGCCCUGAGGGUGCUCAGGAAGGAAAGAACACAGCCAUCUAGCAGCCAUCAGACUGCGGCCACCACUGAGGGUGAGCUCGGAGGGAACUUGGGACGUGAAAACAGCAGGAUCCUGGCCCCAGACAGCUGAGGCGCGCAUCGAAGUGAUGAUUUCAGCGAGCCCGGACGCUUCCAUCUUCCCAUACGUAGAAAAGCGCUAAAUUCUCUAACUUGGGAUAGUUGGUUUUCUUUAAUUGGCGGUAGCGUUCGAGGUUCAGAUUAUCUGCCUUUUGUUGCGAAGCUUCUUUAUUACCUGGCUCCUCCCCUCGCCUCCUCUGAGCAGUUCUCUCGGGGUUACUUGAGAUGCUGCCUCCCGGGCUUGAGUCCUAAGAAUAUCUGACAAAUAAAACAUAACUCUCAACGUUUAGGUUGC